rnacentral:rRNA from 1 species
AACGAACGCUGGCGGCAUGCCUAACACAUGCAAGUCGAACGAGACCUUCGGGUCUAGUGGCGCACGGGUGCGUAACGCGUGGGAACCUGCCCUUAGGUUCGGAAUAACUCCCCGAAAGGGGUGCUAAUACCGGAUAAUGUCUUCGGACCAAAGAUUUAUCGCCUUUGGAUGGGCCCGCGUUGGAUUAGCUAGUUGGUAGGGUAAAAGCCUACCAAGGCGACGAUCCAUAGCUGGUCUGAGAGGAUGAUCAGCCACACUGGGACUGAGACACAGCCCAGACUCCCUCGGGAGGCAGCAGUGGGGAAUAUUGGACAAUGGGCGAAAGCCUGAUCCAGCAAUGCCGCGUGAGUGAUGAAGGCCUUAGGGUUGUAAAGCUCUUUUACCCGGGAUGAUAAUGACAGUACCGGGAGAAUAAGCUCCGGCUAACUCCGUG